ACGAACGCUGGCGGCUGCUUAACACAUGCAAGUCGAACGGAGUGGCGAACGGGUGAGUAACGCGUGAGCAACCUGCCUAUGACAGUGGGAUAGCCUCGGGAAACCGGGAUUAAUACCGCAUAGUCAUAGAGGGGCUCGCGUCUGAUUAGCUUGUUGGUGAGAUAACAGCCCACAAAGGAGACGAUCAGUAGCCGGUCUGAUGGGAUGAACGGCCACAUUGUAACUGAGACACGGUCCAAACUCCUACGGGAGGCAGCAGUGGGGAAUAUUGCACAAUGGGGGAAACCCUGAUGUAGCGACGCCGCGUGAACGAAGAAGGUAUUCGUAUCGUAAAGUUCUGUCCUAUGGGAAGCAGUACCACAGAAGAAGCACCGGCUAACUCCGUGCCAGCAGCCGCGGUAAUAC
rnacentral:rRNA from 1 species